GUGAAAGAGUUUGGAAAACAACGAUAUGCACCAUUAACUGAAAAGAGGAAAAUGUCAAGGGCAUUUGUGCUAAGCCUUAGCUUGAGCUGGGUGGUCACUGAUGCAUUCCAACCUGGGCUGCUCAUAUUUUGAUCCGGUUGUCAUCUGCUGAAAGAAACUGGUGGGAAGUCUGGUGAAGAUGUGGAUACUCUGGAGCAGUUCCUUGGGCCUUUCUGUGCUAUCAGAUUCCUAGGACAUUUCUACGUGAUAAGGAAUCACAUCGGUGUACCUGCAGCUGAGAGAUGUAAAGAGGAGGCAUAGACUGAUUGGGCAGCCGCGGUAAAGAAAAGGGACGGAAUGCUGAUCCUGGGGCCACCCAGGUGCUUAAAGAUGCAUUGAAUUAUCUCACUUCCUCUUCACGCUCCCUUUGCUCAUCACACCUUUGCUCAUUAUUUUGGCACCUGCAAUGUGCUUAGUAAAGACAAGGAUGGGUAAGAUCAAGCCAGUCUCUGCUCUUGUGAAACUCAUAUUCAAGGACAGAAAACAAAGGAAGAAGUAAACAGAAAAGGAAAACCAGGUUAUAAAUCGGUGAAGGGUGGAUGAAGGAAACAAAUGAGCUAAGGUAGCAAAAAAAACAAGAAGAAACAACUACCGAUAGGAAGCUUAAGAAAAACGGCUUUGAGAAAGUACUUAAGCUAUUGACCAAAGGAAGAGACAGAGCUAUAUAUACGCAGAAAACGGGGGGUGGGGGUUGGAAGUGGGAUAGCAUGUGCAAGAGUCCUGGGGUGAGAACGAUCCCUAUGUCUACCGAGUAAUGAAUGGGCUGGAGAAAGAAGAAGAAGCAUCAUGAAGAGGCUGUCAGUGGUGGUCCAGUUGAGAGAUGAGUUCUGUGUGAAUUCGAAUGGGAGUAUUCGAGAUGAAGAGUGGUGAACAAGGUCACGAUAUAUUUUGGAGGAAGAAAUACAUUUUACAGUGGUACUUGCCAUGUAGACUUAUCAAUAUCUCCCGCAUUAACAGAUGAGAAUAGGAAAUUAACUAAGGCUCUUACGGGAGGUAACUCCGGGAGGGGGGUUUUGAAUCCCACCCUUCCUUAAAGCCUGUCCCGUGCGCCAUACUCACUAGCUCUAGUAGUUCAAGGUCAAUGUAAGUUUUACAGAAUCAUAAAGUAGAAGCUUUUGCCAGUCUAAAGAUUUUGAAUUAGAAUUUAAUAGGGGCACCUGGAUGGCUCAGUCAGUUGAGCGUGAGACUCUUAGCUUCUGCUCGGGUCAUGACCUCAGGGUCAGAAGAUCAAGCCUGGCACUGGGUUGGAGCCUGCUCAAGAUUCUCCGUCUCCUUCCUCUCUGACAUCCCUCAACUGGUGCUCUCUCUCUCUCUCUCUCUAAAAUAAAUAAAUAAAUAAAAAUCUUUGAAAAAGAACACGCUUUAAUAACCUGGACGGCCUGGAGAUAUUUUUAGUUUGCAAAUCCAUGACUUCCAAUUCAUCGGAAAAAGGGCACCAAGUCCCACAAGCACUCCAGACUCUUCUGUUCUGCACAAAGUACCUGAGCAUUCUUGCAUUUCUUCCAGAGACCUGCUGUGUUAACCCCCUGCGUGUGAAAAAUUUUCCAUUUGCUAAAGCAGCAAUUUGUAGCAACUGUGAGCCAUACCCUGUUAUGUCUAAACUGGAUAAUUUCCAUGACCAACCUGUUUUUUCAGCUUUGCUAAAAAUAUGCCCGUAUCUCCCCAUAAUUUAAAAUGGCGCUGCUUGCUGAAACUCUCCCGCCGGGCAAGUAAGUCAACACACAAAAUAGGCUUAAAAUAAGCCGCGCUUGGAGUCAAAAAAGGAGCCGAAGUCCUUCUGCCAUUAAUUUCUUCAUUUUUAUUCUACUCUUAACUGCUGAUGUUCUGGGGUGCAUAGUAGUGCUGCUCUAGUACCUUCCAUUUCUCCUUUAUCUCACACGUGGCAGGAUCCUCUCCCUCACCCCUUCAGUGGGCCCCGAGUACCCCUUGCUCUGGAAGUGGGUGGGUGCUGCUCCAGGGAGCUCCCUUCCCUGCUGCAGGCUCCAGCCCUGUUGGAAGCCCUAGGGUAGCCCGAGUCUCUGAUGAGGGUGGCCUGCUGCUGAGUCUCCUCCCCCAACUUUCAACAGGCAGGCUAAGGGGGAGGGGGCAUAAGAGCUUUUGUGGUUUUAAGAAACUAAUAUUUGGGGAAACUAAUAUUUGUUGUCACUGCUGCCGCUAGAGUAUAACGUCGUUUUCUUGCCUUGGGAGGGUUCCCUCACAUGCUUGUGGUGAAGGGAAGUAUGGCACACGGUACAAUUGGCAGAAGGUCAGGAGGUCUGCAUUCAGAUGGCCCUGUUUUUCAUCCUUCUUUUACUUUGCCUGCUCUCUGAUCCCUCUUUUUCUCAGCUGUAAAAAAAAAAAAAAAAAAAAAAA